rnacentral:rRNA from 1 species
CACAGACAGCCAGGAGGUUGGCUUAGAAGCAGCCAUUCCUUAAAAGAGUGCGUAACAGCUCACUGGUCGAGCAGGCGUGCGCAGACAAUGUAACGGGGCUAAGCGUUAUACCGAAGCCGCGGGUCCGCAUUGUAAGAUGCGGGCGGUAGGGGAGCAUUGCGCUAACCGGAGAAGGCGUACCUGUGAGGGGCGCUGGAGGAAGCGGAAGAGAGAAUGCAGGCACAAGUAACGAAAAGACGGGUGAGAUUCCCGUCCGCCGAAAGCCUGAGGAUUCCCGGGUAAAGGCAAUCUGCCCGGGGUAAGUCGGCCCCUAAGGCGAGGACGAAAGUCGUAGUCGAUGGGAAAUCGGUUCAAAAUCCGAUACCCGGCUCAGUUUUGAAGGCAGGACGCAUGAGGUGAAAUCCGGCAGGAGAACGGUAGAUUCUGUCCAAGCGGUAAGGUGUUGAGAGGGCGGUUAAAAGAGCCCUUGAGCUGAGCCGUUACGGGGAGCGGAGCGCAGGCGAAGCGAAGCGGAUGUAAUCAAGGUGCCGGGAAAUACUGUCUAAAGAUAGGCUGAGUCGGACCGUACCGGAAACGGACACACGCAGGCAGGAUGAGUAAUCUAAGGCGCACGAGCGACCCCGCGUUAAGGAACUCGGCAAAAAGCACACGUAACUUCGGAAGAAGUGUGGCUCACGCUGAUAAGGAUGUGAGCGGCAGAAAGCAGGCCCAGGCGACUGUUUACCAAAAACACAGCCAUCUGCGAACCAGUAAUGGGACGUAUAGGUGGUGACACCUGCCCGGUACCGGAAGGUUAAGGGGAGGGGUUAGCAGGAAUGCGAAGCUCCGAACCGAAGCCCCGGCAAACGGCGGCCGUAACUAUAACGGUCCUAAGGUAGCGAAAUUCCUUGUCGGGUAAGUUCCGACCCGCACGAAUGGUGUAACGAUUCUGGGCGCUGUCUCAACGCGGGACUCGGUGAAACUUAUAUUCCGGUAAAGAAGCCGGAUACCCGUAAUUAGACGGAAAGACCCCGUGAACCUUCACCGCAGCUUAUCACUGGGAUUCUAUCCGCCAUGUGUAGGAUAGCCGGGAGGCGAAGAAGCGUGCGCGUCAGCGUGCGUGGAGCCGUUGGUGAAAUACCGGCCCUGGCGGAUGGGAUUUCUAACUCCGGUCCGUGAAGCCGGAAGGGGGACAGUGAUUGGCGGGCGGUUUGACUGGGGCGGUCGCCUCCUAAAGGGUAACGGAGGCGCGCGAAGGUCUCCUCGCGGUGGUUGGAAAUCAUCGUACGAGUGUAAAGGCACAAGGAGGCUUGACUGCGAGUGAGACAUCACGAGCAGGUGCGAAAGCAGGUCUUAGUGAUCUGGCGGUUGCAAGUGGAAGCGCCGUCACUUAACGGACAAAAGGUACUCCGGGGAUAACAGGCUGAUUUUCCCCAAGAGUUCACAUCGACGGGAAAGUUUGGCACCUCGAUGUCGGCUCAUCGCAUCCUGGGGCUGGAGCAGGUCCCAAGGGUUUGGCUGUUCGCCAAUUAAAGCGGUACGUGAGCUGGGUUCAGAACGUCGCGAGACAGUUCGGUCCCUAUCUGUUACGGGCGGAGGAUGUUUGAGAGGAGCUGCUUUUAGUACGAGAGGACCGAAGCGGACGAACCUCUGGUAUACCGGUUAUCCUGCCAAGGGUAAGUGCCGGGUGGCUACGUUCGGAAGGGAUAACCGCUGAAAGCAUCUAAGCGGGAAGCCCGCCUCAAGAUGAGACAUCCCUGAGGGUAUAACCCUCCUAAAGACCCCGGAGACACUAUCCGGUUGAUAGGCUGCAGGUGCAGGCACGGCGACGUGCACAGCCGAGCAGUACUAAUAGGUCGUGAGGCUUGACCAU